rnacentral:rRNA from 1 species
UACGAGGGGUCCUAGCGUUGUUUCGGAAUCAUUGGGGUCGUAAAGCGUCUGUAGGCGGCUUUGUAAGUCGGGUGUGAAAGCCCCAGGCUCAACCUGGGAAGUGGCAUUCCGAUACUGCUUUAGCUUGAAUGUUGGAGAGGAUAGUAGAAUUCCAGGUGUAGUGGUGAAAUACGUAGAUAUCUGGAGGAAUACCGGUGGCGAAGGCGGCUAUCUGGCCAAACAUUGACGCUGAGAGACGGAAAGUGACGGGGAUCAAACAGGGAUUAAGAAACC